rnacentral:rRNA from 1 species
CACGUAGGGUGCAAGCGUUGUCCGGAAUCAUUGGGCGUAAAGAGCUCGUAGGCGGCUUGUCGCGUCGACUGUGAAAACCCGCGGCUCAACUGCGGGCUUGCAGCCGAUACGGGCAGGCUAGAGUUCGGUAGGGGAGAUCGGAAUUCCUGGUGUAGCGGUGAAAUGCGCAGAUAUCAGGAGGAACACCGGUGGCGAAGGCGGAUCUCUGGGCCUGUUCUGACGCUGAGGCGCGAAAGCUAGGGGAGCAAACGGG